AAUUAAUUCAAGCUACACUGCAAGUCUUACAUCAAUACUCACAGUUCAGCGGUUAUUUUCUCCUAUCAGUGGGAUUGAAAGCUUGAAGGAAGGUGAUGAACCCAUAGGAUACCAAGUGGGUUCUUUUGUUGAAUAUUAUUUGAGCGAAGAACUUGGAAUAUCUAAAUCUAGGCUUGUUGCCUUAGGAUCACCUGAAGCAUAUGCUAAAGCACUCCAACUUGGUCCUAAAAAGAAGGGGGGUGUUGCUGCUGUUGUUGAUGAACUUCCUUACGUUGAACACUUCCUCUCAACCCAGUGUGCAUUCAGGAUUGUGGGUCAAGAAUUUACAAAAAGUGGCUGGGGCUUUGCAUUUCCACGGGACUCUCCUUUAGCUGUCGACAUGUCGACUGCAAUUCUAGCACUAUCGGAAAGUGGUGAUCUUCAAAGGAUCCAUGACAAGU
rnacentral:misc_RNA from 1 species